GGCACCGCUUAGUAGCUAAGUUGGGAUGUGAUAAGAGCUGAAAGCAUCUAAGCUCGAAGCCAACUCCAAGAUUAAUCUUCUUUUAAGAGCUCUUAUAGACUAUAAGUUUGAUAGGCUGGGUGUGUAAGUGAUGUAAGUCAUUUAGCUGACCAGUACUAAUAGCUCGUUUGCUUAUCUUA
rnacentral:rRNA from 1 species